GAUGAACGCUGGCGGCGUGCUUAACACAUGCAAGUCGAACGGUGAACGAGGGAGCUUGCUCCCUCCGGAUCAGUGGCGAACGGGUGAGUAACACGUGAGCAGUCUGCCCUGGACUCUGGGAUAAGCGUUGGAAACGACGUCUAAUACCGGAUACGAGGCGUGGGGGCAUCCCCAACGCCUGGAAAGAACUUCGGUCCAGGAUGAGCUCGCGGCCUAUCAGGUAGUUGGUGAGGUAAUGGCUCACCAAGCCUACGACGGGUAGCCGGCCUGAGAGGGUGACCGGCCACACUGGGACUGAGACACGGCCCAGACUCCUACGGGAGGCAGCAGUGGGGAAUAUUGCACAAUGGGCGCAAGCCUGAUGCAGCAACGCCGCGUGAGGGACGACGGCCUUCGGGUUGUAAACCUCUUUUAGCAGGGAAGAAGCGAAAGUGACGGUACCUGCAGAAAAAGCACCGGCUAACUACGUGCCAGCCGCCGCCGUAA
rnacentral:rRNA from 1 species